rnacentral:rRNA from 1 species
UACGUAGGGGGCAAGCGUUGUCCGGAAUCAUUGGGCGUAAAGAGCGUGUAGGCGGCUCGGUAAGUCCGCUGUGAAACCUCCAGGCUCAACCUGGAGUCGCCAUCCGAUACUGCCAUGGCUAGAGUCCGGUAGGGGCCCACGGAAUUCCUGGUGUAGCGGUGAAAUGCGCAGAUAUCAGGAGGAACACCGAUGGCGAAGGCAGUGGGCUGGGCCGGCACUGACGCUGAGGAGCGAAAGCGUGGGGAGCGAACAGG